UACGAAGGGGGCUAGCGUUGCUCGGAAUCACUGGGCGUAAAGGGUGCGUAGGCGGGUCUUUAAGUCAGGGUGAAUCCUGGAGCUCAACUCCAGAACUGCCUUUGAUACUGAGGAUCUUGAGUUCGGGAGAGGUGAGUGGAACUGCGAGUGUAGAGGUGAAAUUCGUAGAUAUUCGCAAGAACACCAGUGGCGAAGGCGGCUCACUGGCCCGAUACUGACGCUGAGGCACGAAAGCGUGGGGAG
rnacentral:rRNA from 1 species